GGGGGUAUAUCUCAGUUGAUAGAGCAUUGGGCUUUAAUUUUAACCUAAUGGUUGCAGGUUCAAGUCCUGCUAUACUCU
rfam:Glycine soja cultivar W05 scaffold2932_15, whole genome shotgun sequence.